GGUAGGGUGGCCGAGUGCCCAGGUGGCGGGUUGUAACCCCGUGGACAGAGGUUUAAACCCUCUCCCUAUCA
rnacentral:tRNA from 1 species